ensembl:ncRNA C18H7.15 ncRNA
CAAUGCAGGCAUGUAGCCAUGUAGGCACGUAGGCAGGUAUGCAUGUAGGCAUGUAGACAUUUCAUGUCAUCAAUUUAGGUUUCCAAGCUAAAACUCCUAAAUCUUGGAAUGUAGGCGUGUAGGCGUGCAGGCAUGUAGGCAUAUAGGCAA